AUUCUGCCUCCAUGUUCUCAAUGCAUGCCACCGUCUGCAACAGGUUCUCAUGUAGCUCUUUGUUGUACUCCUCCAGCAUCCUGCAAUAUAUUACAGAUCAGUGUGUUUAUCUAUGUUGACAGUAGGUCG